rnacentral:miRNA from 1 species
CGAAAAAUGAAAAGUGCCACAUAA